UCGGGAAUAUUGCGCAAUGGAGGAAACUCUGACGCAGUGACGCCGCGUAUAGGAAGAAGGUCUUCGGAUUGUAAACUAUUGUCGUUAGGGAAGAGAAAGGACAGUACCUAAGGAGGAAGCUCCGGCUAACUACGUGCC
rnacentral:rRNA from 1 species